rnacentral:tRNA from 1 species
CUGGGAAGAUAACGAUGGAUGUUUACCCGCAUUGGAAGCGGGAGGUUGUAGGUUCGAGUCCUACUUCUCAGA